AUGUGAACUGAGGGAACCUGUCCGAGGCUAGAGUCACGCUCAGGUAUUGCUUGUUGCCUCAGUGUGCUAGAGUCCUCGAAGAAAAACUACUGACCUUAUUCACUGGCU
rnacentral:miRNA from 14 species